UACGUAGGGUGCGAGCGUUGUCCGGAAUUAUUGGGCGUAAAGAGCUUGUAGGCGGUUUGUCGCGUCUGCUGUGAAAUCUCAAGGCUCAACCUUGAGCUUGCAGUGGGUACGGGCAGACUAGAGUGUGGUAGGGGAGAUUGGAAUUCCUGGUGUAGCGGUGAAAUGCGCAGAUAUCAGGAGGAACACCGAUGGCGAAGGCAGGUCUCUGGGCCACUACUGACGCUGAGAAGCGAAAGCAUGGGGAGCGAACAGG
rnacentral:rRNA from 1 species